UUAUUGUGUGCUUUAUCACUUCAAACCACCGUCAACUCUCAGUAUGAUGGGGAAAGAUUAACCCUUGCCGUUGACGGUGAGGGUUUUCUUUUGG
rnacentral:sRNA from 1 species